GCAAUAUAGAGAGAUUUUAUGUUGGGUGUUUCGGUAAGUAAAAAGAAUUGGUCUUUUAAUCUGCAUAUUGGUUAACCAUGGGAAAUAAAUAUCAGGCAAAUUUCUGUAUAAAAAAUGCAGCUCUUCAAUAGAAUAAUAUUAAGACUAAGAAUGGUAUAGGGUGCACCAGCCCAUGUGGUAGUGCAACACAUGGGCGAUACCUGAGAGACCCAAUAGCAAGCUAUUGUAAUGGCCCCUCCCCUUUAAAAAAGUAAUUUAAUAUCGUGUGGGCCAAUGACCCACAUAUCAGAUAUUAAACUGAUAAGAACAGAUACUACACUUGAUCUUAGCCAAAAGGCCGAGAAAGGUAUGACUUAUUCCAAAGUUAGGCUUCCUUUUUAUAUUGUGUCCUCCCUUUUUUCUUGUUAGCCUUGUCAAUGUGGGACUACAAAUAAUAUUUGGUGUGAGUACUGAUUUACUACACUUGUGGUGAGAGUAAAUUCGUACGCCCCCUGCCCUUGCUUCAUAAUUCAAAGACUGGGAAUGUAAGUCAAGUUUUAUAUGUAUCAUCACUAUCUUAUUCUUUGGAUUACAUCUCCGAACUUUUUAUAAGAUUCUUUCGAGAUUUGUGUAUUAAGCAUUUUCGAAGUCUUAUUAUAGGUACAACAAAUGAAUUUGUUAUCAAAAUAUCAACAUUUAAUGAUGCAAAUUGAGUUAAAAAGAAAAUUAUUUGGUUUCAUUAGCUCCAUGGAUGAAUGACUGUUUUGGUAAAUUAGAUCAACUUCAUGAUGAUUACACUUUUCCUUGAUCCCCAUAAAUUACCCAAAAUGAUUUUAUAAAAAUGAUCGAAUGAAAUAAUGUUAGUUUAAUUUUUAUAUGGACAGAAAGUGUCUCGUGGUUUUGUAGGAGUCAUUCACAUUGACUUCAAAAGAACUUUUCUUAACGAGUAUUACAAUAGUAUUGUUUAAUAUAUAUUAUAAGAAAUUUAGCAUUGAAAAACUAACUCCGAAAUUUCUGGAUAAGUUAAAAUAUUAUUUUUAAGACAAUGUCAUAUUUCUCUUUUAAAAAACAUAAUUAUAACACACUGGUUAACAUUCCCUAGAACAAAACAUUUAAAAACAUAUCAUUUUUAAAAGAGAUUUACUUAAUAAAAAUUAAAAAAUGGGGCUGUAAGGCUGAAAACAAAAGCUUACAUUAGAACUUAGAGAAAUAAUAAUAUGGCACUCGAUUAAAAGGUGGGAUUUGAUAAGAAGCAAAAAAAGAUAGGAAACAUAAAGUGCGGAUAUUUUCGCAAUUUCAAAAUCACUCAGCCAAACUCUUUUUCAUUUUUAGGGUUCUUAAAUUUGGCAUUUUAGCGUCUAUUAAUUAUAAUUAGCCUCACAGUUAAAAACCAAACUUCACAACUAUACUUGGACUAGACUUUUCUAUUAGAUUAAUUUUAAAACUAUCAUCAAGGAUACCACCUCAAACUAUUGUUUAAAAUUCGAAAUCUUUAAGAAAAUGAAAUUUCUUUGACUUAAUUAUGGAUCCCUCAACAAGAGGAACCCCUCAAAAAUAAGCGUAUGCCACUUUGUGUGAAAAGCACACGGUAUUCUUUAGUAAAAGGCGAAAGAAUAGUUCGCUUUGUGCUUAUCACAUGGCUCCGUGACUCUUCAAACUCCAAGGUCUUUGCUUUUAUAUUAGUAACAUUUGAGCCCUCUCACUGCUUUCUCCAAUGUGGGCUCUGUGAUGUAGCAUAGUUUGUAUUGAUGCUCUAAAAAUGAUGCUUUAUUUGUUUCCUUUGUUUUAUUAAAUAUAUUAUCACUAUUUAAAUGUACUUCUAAGCCUUUGGAUUAAGUUCUUCAAUGAUAGCAUAUAACUCAAUGAUAAAAUUGUUGUGGCUAUUGAAAAUUUAAAUAUAUUUGUUAUAUGUCCCUUACUUAAGUGUACUUGUAAGUUUUUCCCCGAUUCCAUUAACCUUUUUAAUGUAAGCACAAGUUCCGGCUGAGUUUUUUUUUUUUUUGGGUUGGAGAACCUCUUGAGUUUUGACCUCUAUAUGUUGAGAUGACACUAAUGAGUUGAAGAUAUACAAUGUGCAUGCGUAGGUUUCAAUUCUCCAUACCAGGGUGGGUGGAGUGUAUACAAUUUGAGGAUCUGAAUCUCUCACUUUAGAAAAAAAGUGAAAUCAAGAAAAUGUAGAUUCAUGAGCUAAAAUAUAUAAAGAACACAAAAAANNNNNNNNNNNNNNNNNNNNNNNNNNNNNNNNNNNNNNNNNNNNNNNNNNNNNNNNNNNNNNNNNNNNNNNNNNNNNNNNNNNNNNNNNNNNNNNNNNNNGUAAGUAAAAAGAAUUGGUCUUUUAAUCUGCAUAUUGGUUAACCAUGGGAAAUAAAUAUCAGGCAAAUUUCUGUAUAAAAAAUGCAGCUCUUCAAUAGAAUAAUAUUAAGACUAAGAAUGGUAUAGGGUGCACCAGCCCAUGUGGUAGUGCAACACAUGGGCGAUACCUGAGAGACCCANGUAUUAGGUGACCUAAGCCUUAGACUCAACUUAAACUAGUUUCUAGUCUAAGCAUAGUACCAAUCAAAGACUUAAGCAUGUUGAUUUGUUGGUGAUCUUCAAGCUCUUAUUAGCACAAGUUGUCCUCAUCAAAACCAUGACAUAUAAAGAGAGCUUUCCAAAGUGUUCCUCUUGACAUGCACACUUUCAUUAUUGUCAUUUGCAGCUGUAGAGUUUACCAUCAUCUCUACUAAUUGGACCUCAACAUUUUCCUCAGAGUUUUGUUCAACCAGGUUCACAUUGAUCCUUGGGCUAUCAGGGGCUAAGAUGGAUUCCUCUACAUAAGUGUCCAAAUUCUCCUCCUCCUCAAUCAAACCAUUAUCUUCAAACUGUGGAGAUAGAAUGACCUUUUCUAUGCCUUCUGGGAUAGGUUCACCCCCUUCGUCAAUUUCCAGGUGAAUGAAAAGUUCAUUUUCUAGAACAUCCUGUGUAGGUUUGACAACAAGAUUAUUUCUCCUGGUUGAGGAAGAGUCUUUUUUCCUCCCAUCAAACACAUCCUUUUUUAGAGAUCUUCUACAGUUGGAAAUUAAGUGUUCGAUUGAGUGGCAUCCAGUGCAAAGAUCAGGCAGAUUCUCAUAUUCUAUAGCCACAAAGAAUGCAAAUCCCUCCCUCUCAACCAGAAUUUGUUCUAGUAAAUGCACCUUUAGGUCAAUGUCCACAAGCACCUUGGCAAUGUGACCAAAAGUCAUAUUGUUUGUUGCUUCAUCAAAAGAAAUUGGGGUCUCAAUCCCUCAUGCAAUAGAGAAGAUUAUCCGAGGACAUCAAUAUUCCUAUGGAAGGGCCAUUAGUUUCACUCAACAUUGAGCAUGAGACAAUUGUUGUUGUGAUGGGUUGAAAUAUGAUGUCCAUAAGAAUAAUCUCAUUAUUCCUGGUUUGAGAUUCCAUGAACCAAUGGCACAAACACUCCUCAUAUCAUCAAGAGAUGAGAAAGCAAAUUCGUAUGAGGAGAUAGAUGAAUAUGGUAGUUUCACAAAUGUGCUCCAUUUUCCUAACUUAUUCCAUAACACUGAAAGCUUAGCUUUUAGAUCCAUAAAUUUAAUGGGGUUUUCACCCUUAGAUAGAAUUAACCUACCGUGAAGAUGGUUUUUGCACCGUUAAAUCCCAACUUAGUAGUCAUCCUCUGGUAUUUUAUUGGCAAUGACAUCCCUCUAUACAAGGUUGUGGUAAUUGUGAGAUUGAAACAUCACAAGAGUUUUUCAGUGUAUGUGCAAAGGAUUUUUUUCUCAGGUAAUAUGGUGGAGAUUUUAGGAGUCGCAUUAGAUACUGAACCAACAAGAAAUCCCCAUGGAAUUAGUGGUUCAGAGCUUUCCAUGAUUCAUAAGCUUUCCAUGAUUCAGAAAUUACUAUGAAAUUAAUAUUUAGUUUAAGAAGCAAAAAUGAUGAGUGGAAUAAAAGUUGAAGAGAGAAAAGUUAAUAAAAAUUAUUCUUUAAUUAUGUGAUAUGAAAGAAAGAAAAAAUGAAAUUAAUGAAUUGAAAAAUAUUCAAAAACAGAAAAUAAAAAAAAAAGUCUUAUUAAAUUUAAGUUAAAAACAAAUAUAGUUUUUCAUCCCGUUUCACUCCGCAUAUGGGAAGAAAAAAAUUUAGUAGGUCACAUUACCUUUUUUUCUUUCCAACCAAAUGAUGGGGCGGAUUUUCUAUUUCUUUUCUCUCCUUCUAUUUUCAUUGUAACCAAACACAAUAUAAGAGUUAUAAAACAUGCACCCUUUUAAACUUAGAUACUAAGGUGUAAAGUUUUUGUAUUAAUGAAAAUAUGCAAAUUAAACAACUAUACUCAAAACAUGAUGUUAAAUGUUUCAUUCAACAAUUGUAAAAAAAUAUUUUGUAGCAUUCAAUACGAGACUUUGAAAAUGUUAAUUUAUAUGAAAUGCAAUCUGUUUUGUGGAAUAAGUCAUGCAAUCUCACUAUUUCUAAAACAACAUCUUAGACAGCUAUUUGUAUCUUUUGCGCUUUAGGUCAUGUCAAUGAUGAAAAAGUGUAUAGAAAACUAAAUUAAAAAGGAAGAAAAAGGACUCGUUGAUAAACAAAAAUUUCAUCCCAGAUUAUUUCUGAGGUCAAGUGGACAUUUAGGCAGGUUAAAGGGGUAAACAUUACUCAUUCAUGUAUCAAAGAGACAUAAUAGUUAUUUUAGUAUUAGCAAAGAUUAUCCUGUAAGUUAUGAUGUCAAUAUUUAGUUGACGUGAAUAAACUACAAUUUAUUUACACUAUAAAAACGAUCAAACCAUUUUUUUUCUUUAUUACAUACAAGUCCGGAAAACUAUGGCUCAAACUCUUAAGUUUCUUUAUCUGUUGAUCCUUUUCUUUAUCAUGCUUGUCAUUUCAGCCCAAGAUGAUAUAUGUGAGUAAUCCUUUUUCUCCAUUUCCAUUUUUCUUUCAUAAUCUUUCACCUAUACUUUCAUUCAAAAUAUUUCACAUAUACUUUUUAUUCUCAGUAACACUCUUUUAUUUUGUAUUAUAUUACUAAAGAUUUCCCAUGUAGAAAUAAAGGACAUUGCAUGUAUCCUUGUUAUAGUGCAGGGUACCUUUAUUUUGAUUGCGAUUUUAUGACUUGCGUUUGCUUCUAAUAGCCAAGGUUAUGAGUAAUCUUAAUUUACUUGUGUGUUUUUGUUAGUGUUUUGAAGUUGUCGAGGGUAGUAAUAUGUGUGAAUAUUUGUAAUAAGCUACCACAUUUUAUAAAGGGAAAUAUUAUCAUGUAAUAUUUUUUUAAGACAAUAAUUUAUUUUACUUCUACAUUUAGGUCCUAUUUCUUUAGGUUUCUAAAAAUUAAAUUAUCCAUAAACUUCUUUGAAAAACUAUGUUGAUAAAAUAAAAAUAACACCGUCAUGAUUAGCCAUAAGUUUAAAAACAAAUAACCUUAUAAAUAAUAAUUUAAAACUACUUAGUGUAAUAUCUAUACUACUAUAUAAAGACAAAAUAUGUCUAAGGGUAUAUAGAUAAUUAAAAAUUCAUAAUUUAUACAUCUCAACUUUACCCUUUCUAAUAUAUGAAUGCAAAAUAUGCGCUUAAAAUGCAUUUAGGUAAUUGAACAUGUAUAAUUUUAUUUAAUUUCAUUUAUAUACUUAAAUUGUGGUAAUUGAAAGACAAUAUGAUAUAUUCAAUUUUGUAAUAUAUACUAUGCAAAUAAUUUUGUAAUAAUUGGAUACAAAAAAUGACUCAAAAGAUUGCAUAUGAUUACUUUAGGUUACUUUUAAAUAGAGAACAUAUUAUGUUCUUUGAAACACUCAAAAACUAAACGACUUAACAUUUUGAUGCCCUAUUCUCUAUAUUUGAAGAUUAUCUCAUGUUCAUCAUUUAUCUAAUUUUUCACUAAGGAAGAUCACAUUUUUGAAUAAGUGUGAAAAUACAAUCAAUCAAAUAUUAAAGGCUUAUUCUUUCUUAGAAUGUAAUUCUUUUGUAAUAAUUUACAAAUAGAGACUCUAUAUCAAUCAAAAACUAUAGCCAAAAUUAUAAUAUCAUGUAUAAUUAAAUAUUCAAACAAAAUUAUAAAUCAUGUAUACUCAAUACAAAAAGUUUUAUAUAAUUCUUUAAAAUAAAAUAUAUAAAUAUUAAAUAUUCUAAUACUAGAAAAAUAAGAAAUAAACAAAUUCUCUUUUGUGUAAAUUACAACAACGGACAUUACAAAGAAGAGGAAGAGGAUGAGGAUGAGGAUAGGAUGAGGACGACAAUGAGGAUGAGGACAGGAUGAGGAGUGGGAUGAGGAUGAGGAUAGGAUGAGGAGUGGGAUGAGGAUAGGAUGAGGACGACAAUGAGGAUGAGGAUGAGGAUAGGAUGAGGAAGAGGAAGAGGAUGGGACGAGAAUAGAAUGAGGACGAGAAUGUGGAUGAGGAUGAGAAUGAGGUUAGGAUGAGGAAAGGAUGAGGACGAGAAUGAGGAUGAGGAUAGGAUGUGGAUGAGGAUAAGGAUAGGAUUUGGAUGAGGAGGAGGAUAGGAUGAGGACGAGAACGAGGAUAUGGAUAGGAUGAGGACGAGGANNNNNNNNNNNNNNNNNNNNNNNNNNNNNNNNNNNNNNNNNNNNNNNNNNNNNNNNNNNNNNNNNNNNNNNNNNNNNNNNNNNNNNNNNNNNNNNNNNNNGUAAGUAAAAAGAAUUGGUCUUUUAAUCUGCAUAUUGGUUAACCAUGGGAAAUAAAUAUCAGGCAAAUUUCUGUAUAAAAAAUGCAGCUCUUCAAUAGAAUAAUAUUAAGACUAAGAAUGGUAUAGGGUGCACCAGCCCAUGUGGUAGUGCAACACAUGGGCGAUACCUGAGAGACCCAAUAGCAAGCUAUUGUAAUGGCCCCUCCCCUUUAAAAAAGUAAUUUAAUAUCGUGUGGGCCAAUGACCCACAUAUCAGAUAUUAAACUGAUAAGAACAGAUACUACACUUGAUCUUAGCCAAAAGGCCG
rnacentral:lncRNA from 1 species